rnacentral:rRNA from 1 species
GACGAACGCUGGCGGCGUGCUUAACACAUGCAAGUCGAACGAAGAGCGAUGGAAGCUUGCUUCUAUCAAUCUUAGUGGCGAACGGGUGAGUAACGCGUAAUCAACCUGCCCUUCAGAGGGGGACAACAGUUGGAAACGACUGCUAAUACCGCAUACGAUCUGACCUCGGCAUCGAGGAUAGAUGAAAGGUGGCCUCUAUUUAUAAGCUAUCACUGAAGGAGGGGACUGCGUCUGAUUAGCUAGUUGGAGGGGUAACGGCCCACCAAGGCGAUGAUCAGUAGCCGGUCUGAGAGGAUGAACGGCCUCAUUGGGACUGAGACACGGCCCAGACUCCUACGGGAGGCAGCAGUGGGGAAUCUUCCGCAAUGGACGAAAGUCUGACGGAGCAACGCCGCGUGAGUGAUGACGGCCUUCGGGUUGUAAAGCUCUGUUAAUCGGGACGAAAGGCCUUCUUGCGAAUAGUUAGAAGGAUUGACGGUACCGGAAUAGAAAGCCACGGCUAACUACGUG